UGAUGGCUGUUUCUCUUGUGGCUGGAGCCUUAGGCCGUGGGAUUUUAGUCUGUCAUACGUCUAAGCUGGCUUGUCUUCUCUCAGGACACCACAGGGAUGGCUUGGCUGUUUGUUAGUGUGUUUUGACUUUUGCAGAAUCACACAAUU
ensembl:snoRNA